GAUGAACGCUAGCUACAGGCUUAACACAUGCAAGUCGAGGGGCAGCAUGAACUUAGCUUGCUAAGUUUGAUGGCGACCGGCGCACGGGUGAGUAACACGUAUCCAACCUUCCGUUUACUCAGGGAUAGCCUUUCGAAAGAAAGAUUAAUACCUGAUAGUAUGGUGAGAUUGCAUGAUAACACCAUUAAAGAUUUAUGGUAAACGAUGGGAUGCGUUCCAUUAGGUAGUAGGCGGGGUAACGGCCCACCUAGCCUGCGAUGGAUAGGGGUUCUGAGAGGAAGGUCCCCCCACAUUGGGAACUGAGACACGGUCCAAACUCCUACGGGAGGCAGCAGUGAGGAAUAUUGGUCAAGUGGGCGAGAGCCUGAACCNGCCAAGUAGCGUGAAGGAUGAAGGUCCUACGGAUUGUAAACUU
rnacentral:rRNA from 1 species